rnacentral:rRNA from 1 species
CCAGACUCCUACGGGAGGCAGCAGUGGGGAAUAUUGGGCAAUGGGCGCAAGCCUGACCCAGCAAUGCCGCGUGAAGGAAGAAGGCUUUCGGGUUGUAAACUUCUUUUAAGAGGGAAGAGUAGAAGACGGUACCUCUUGAAUAAGCCACGGCUAACUACGUGCCAGCAGCCGCGGUAAUACGUAGGGGGCAAGCGUUAUCCGGAUUUACUGGGUGUAAAGGGGGCGCAGACGGCGAUGCAAGCCAGGAGUGAAAGCCCGGGGCCCAACCCCGGGACUGCUCUUGGAACUGCGUGGCUAGAGUGCAGGAGGGGCAGGCGGAAUUCCUGGUGUAGCGGUGAAAUGCGUAGAUAUACGGAGGAACACCAGUGGCGAAGGCGGCCUGCUGGACAUUAACUGACGCUGAGGCGCGAAAGCGUGGGGAGCAAACAGGAUUAGAUACCCCCGUACG